rnacentral:pre_miRNA from 1 species
UUUGUACUCCCUCCGUCCGAAAAUACUUGUCAUCAAAAUGGACAAAAAGGGAUGUAUCUAGAACUAAAAUACAUCUAGAUACAUUCCCUUUUAUUCAUUUUGAUGACAAGUAUUUCCGGACGGAGGGAGUAUUGC